CAACAUGUGCGCGAGUCGUAGGGUGCUACGAAACCCGAAGGCGCAAUGAAAGUGAGGGCGGCUCGAAACCGCCCGAGUGUGGGAUCCGUCAACGCCGGGUCYGUYAAAGGACCUCGCGACGGCGCACCACCGGCCCGUCUCGUGCCUGUUACGUCUGAUUCCAGGCGAGGCGGAGCGAGAGCGUACACGUUGGGACCCGAAAGAUGGUGAACUAUGCCUGAGCAGGGCGAAGCCGGAGGAAACUCUGGUGGAAGCUCGGAGCGAUUCUGACGUGCAAAUCGAUCGUCGGACUUGGGUAUAGGGGCGAAAGACUAAUCGAACCAUCUA
rnacentral:rRNA from 1 species